GAUGAACGCUGGCGGCGUGCUUAACACAUGCAAGUCGAACGGAAAGACUCCUGCUUUCAUGGUUACUCGAUUGGCGAACGGGUGAGUAACACGUGUGUGAUCUGCCCUGCUCUUCGUGGUAAGCCUUGGGAACUCGGGCUAAUAUCGGAUAUAACAAUGUUUUCGAUGCCGUUCUGUAAUGUUUUUCGGUUUUGGCUUAGCUCGAAGCUGAUCAGCUGCUUGGUUAGGUAAUGGCCUACCAAGGCGUCUACGGGUAGCCGGCCUGAGAGGGUGUACGGGGACAAUGGGACUGAGAGACGGAGCAGAAGCGUACGGGAGGCAGAAGUGGGGAACCUUGCACAGCGGGCGCAAGCGUGAUGCAGAGAUGCUGCGUGGGGGAAGCCGGCCUACAGGUUGUAAACAACUUUCGAUAGGGCCGAAGCGCAAGUGACGGUACCUGGAGAAGAAGCAACGGCUAACUACGUG
rnacentral:rRNA from 1 species